CCUGAUGCAGCGACGCCGCGUGAGGGAUGACGGCCUUCGGGUUGUAAACCUCUUUCAGUAGGGAAGAAGCGAAAGUGACGGUACCUGCAGAAGAAGCACCGGCUAACUACGUGCCAGCAGCCGCGGUAAUACGUAGGGUGCGAGCGUUAUCCGGAAUUAUUGGGCGUAAAGAGCUCGUAGGCGGUUUGUCGCGUCUGUCGUGAAAGUCCGGGGCUUAACCCCGGAUCUGCGGUGGGUACGGGCAGACUAGAGUGCAGUAGGGGAGACUGGAAUUCCUGGUGUAGCGGUGGAAUGCGCAGAUAUCAGGAGGAACACCGAUGGCGAAGGCAGGUCUCUGGGCUGUAACUGACGCUGAGGAGCGAAAGCAUGGGGAGCGAACAGGAUUAGAUACCCUGGUAGUCCAUGCCGUAAACGUUGGGCACUAGGUGUGGGGACCAUUCCACGGUUUCCGCGCCGCAGCUAACGCAUUAAGUGCCCCGCCUGGGGAGUACGGCCGCAAGGCUAAAACUCAAAGGAAUUGACGGGGGCCCGCACAAGCGGCGGAGCAUGCGGAUUAAUUCGAUGCAACGCGAAGAACCUUACCAAGGCUUGACAU
rnacentral:rRNA from 1 species